GCGACAGAGCGAGACUCUCUCAAAAAAAAAAAAAAAAAAGAAUGAAUGUCCUCAUGAUGGCCUCAAGCACAUUGGUCCCUGAAGAGAGCCAAGGAAGGCCCACUUUACUCUGCACUGCAAAGCAGGCAGGUGGACAGGAUGAGAAGUGGAUUCAGUGACAGGCAUUGACCCAAAGGAUUUUCUGCCUAAUGGUCGGUUCAGCAGAAGAUUAAACUGAGCACAGCAUCCUGUUCCCUCAAACUGUCUGAUAGGGUCUCUCUCUCUGCCACCCAGGCCAGAGUGCAGUUGACGCAGGGCAGGGGAGCCCCGAAGUGGAGCAUAGUGUGUCCGGAACUGGUGGGUUCUUGGUCUCACUGACUUCAAGAAAGAAGCCGCGGACCCUCGCGAGACGGGGUCUUGCUCUGUUGCUCAAGCUGGA
rnacentral:lncRNA from 1 species